rnacentral:rRNA from 1 species
UACGUAGGGUGCAAGCGUUGUCCGGAAUUAUUGGGCGUAAAGAGCUCGUAGGCGGUCUGUCGCGUCGGAUGUGAAAACCCAGGGCUCAACCCUGGGCCUGCAUUCGAUACGGGCAGACUAGAGUUCUGUAGGGGAGACUGGAAUUCCUGGUGUAGCGGUGAAAUGCGCAGAUAUCAGGAGGAACACCGGUGGCGAAGGCGGGUCUCUGGGCCGAAACUGACGCUGGAGGAGCGAAAGCGUGGGGAGCAAACAGG